rnacentral:tRNA from 1 species
CAAGUUAGAGCUUGACAUAAGCGUUUCUCUUACACGGAAAAGAUAUUUGUGAAUCAGAUUAACUUGA